UACAGAGGUCUCAAGCGUUGUUCGGAUUCAUUGGGCGUAAAGGGGUGCGUAGGCGGCGCGGUAAGUCGGGUGUGAAAUCUCGGAGCUUAACUCCGAAACUGCAUUCGAUACUGCCGUGCUUGAGGACUGGAGAGGAGACUGGAAUUUACGGUGUAGCGGUGAAAUGCGUAGAUAUCGUAAGGAAGACCAGUGGCGAAGGCGGGUCUCUGGACAGUUCCUGACACUGAGACACGAAGGCCAGGGAGCAAACGGG
rnacentral:rRNA from 1 species